UUUCCGCAGGUGAACCUGCGGAAGGAUCAUUAUUGUAUAACCGAGGUGCGAGGGCUGUCGCUGACCCGAAAGGUCGUGCACGCCCGAGUGCCCUCACGCACAUCCAUCUCACCCCUAUGUGCACCACCGCGUGGGUCCCCCUUUGGCUUGUUCGGAGGGGGGCUUACGUUUUCACACAAACUUUGUAUGCAGUGUAGAAUGUAUUUUUUGUUCUUGCGAUCACGCAAUCAAUACAACUCUCAACAACGGAUCUCUUGGCUCUC
rnacentral:misc_RNA from 1 species